rnacentral:lncRNA from 1 species
GACUUCAAUUUUGACCCUAAAAUUCCUCAUGUUAUCUCAUCAUUACACGUGUAGGCCAUAAUAAUGCCCUCGAGUCUUUACUCUUUGGCUACGUCACCUUGUCUUCUUCGUAUCUUCUUUCUGUUGUUACACUCUAUCUUUAUGAUAUGCCUCUAACGUGGGUCAGAAAUUAAAUUAUUUAUAACCAACAAAUAAAUAAAGCAGUGGAUGGCCUAAUUCUUCUGUAAUUUAUCAAUAAAAUAAUAAGUUGGGACCAUUCAUUUAUUA